UAAAUAAGCAAGAUGGCGAAAAUCUAGUACGCUCUAACUAAAAGAUCUGUAAAAUAAAGAGAUAGUUACCAAAUGGGCUGAAAUUUGGCGUGCCGGCAUUAUUCGUCUGCUUUAACAUCAAUUCUCUACGAACAGUGAUAGAGGUGCGAAAGUGCAGUAGCGCCAGUCAAUUUAUGUAUACCAGUGGUUUUCUGCAUUGUGGGAAGUCAUGACAAUUCCGCCGUGAUGUCACUGACAGUAUAAGAGUCAGAGCCAGAUUGAUAUUUCAUCAGAAGAGUAUUUCUGGUAAUAAGUAGAAAUGUGGUCCAAUAACCAAUGGCAGUGGCAACAGCAGGCCCCAAUAAACCAGGCACAUUAUGAAAAUAUGCCACACGAUCAAGUGGACUGGGCAGCUUUGGCUAAACAAUGGAUGGCACAUAAAGAAGGACCUGCUCCACCAUCCUCACUCUUAUCACAAGCACAUGAUCCUCCUCCCCCCCCUCCCCCCUCAAACUUUGAUGCUCACCCACCCCCCAUACCUGUUCAUAUUCUUUCUCUUAAUUUACGACAAGAACAAAAUGAUAUGGACAUAUCAGAUGAGGAAUCCGGUGUACACAGUAGUAAAAAAGAUUUUGAUCAGCCACAUCAUGCUGGAUCAUGGAGAUGGAAUGAUGAUACAGAUAACUGGCAACCACCUAGGCAAAAUUGGGAGAUGAAUGAAGGAAUUCAUCAUGGGGAUACAAUCGUUCAGAUUUAGAAAGACUGCUACUUGCAUAUGAAACAACACAUGUUUUAUCAUCCUGAACUUGAAGUAAAACUGCUCCUAACCCAUGUGAACUGGCAUCAAUGUGAACUUCAAAAGGUUUAGUGAAAUCGGCAUAAGCUAAUACAGGUGAUGAAAUCAAUUCCGAAAUAAGAAAAUCAAAUGCAUUCUGUUGUUCAGGACCCCAGAAAAAUACAGGUGAAAUUUUAGCAGAUCUUUUCUUCUUAGCAGUGGAAUGUCCAACAAGGAGAUCAGUUUAAGGUUUCGCUAUUUUAGAAUAGUCUUUGAUGAAACAACGAAAAUACCCACAAAAACCCAAGAAACUUCGAAUUUCUUCCACAGUUGAAGGAAUAGGCCAGGACUUGAAGGUCUCAAUUUUAUCAGGAUCUGUAUGAAUGCCAUCUGCAGAAAUAAAGUGGCCAAGAUACUUAAUUGACGUCUGAAGAAAACUACAUUUUGAAGGUUUUAAGCGAAGAUUGUGUUGAAGAAGACGUUUAAAACCCGACUCUAACCUUGACAUAUGUUUAUGAAAGGUUUUAGAAAAAAUAAUGACAUUGUCUAAAUAUAUCAAACAUUGUAAAAGAUUCAUAUCACCCAUACAGCAUUCCAUCAUUCUCUGGAAAGAAGAAGACGCGUUAGUAAGUCCAAACGGCAUAGUAUUAAACUCCCAAAAGCCGAGAGCACCUGCGGUAAAUGCUGUUUUAUGUUUGUCUGCCUCGUCCAUUUCAAUCUGCCAAUAACCUGACUUUAAGUCGAGAGAAGAAAAAUAUUUUGAACUGUUUAAUGAAUCGAGGGUUUCUUCAAUACGUGGUAGAGCAUAAGCAUCUUUAAUAGUAAGUGAAUUUAGUUUACGAUAAUCGACGCAGAAACAAAGACCACCAUCUUUUUUCUGAACAAGAACAACAGGUGAAGCAUACAGCUUGAAGAAGAACGAUUUACAUUGGAAUCCAGCAUUUUUUGUAUAUGAUCUUUAACUUCCUGGUACAUUGACGGAGGUAUUCUUCUAUGACGUUGUUUAAAUGGAAUGUUAUCAGAAAGAUUGAUCUUGUGUUUUACUAAGUCUGUCUUACCAAUAUCUGUGUCUGAUGAACUGAACUGUCGAACUUAGCCUUCAGAAAAAUUAUUCUAUAAAUCAUUUGUAUGAAUACUUCCUAAUAAAUCAUUAAAACUUAGCCUUCAGAAAAAUUAUUCUAUAAAUCAUUUGUAUGAAUACUUCCUAAUAAAUCAUUAAUACUAUCAGUUCACGAAUUGGAAUGAACAAUACCACUUGAUGAAGCUGGCAAAUAAUGGAUUUAGCUGGAAUGGUAAUAGGUGUUGAAGAGUCAUUUUGCAUUUUAACUUUAAUACUUUGAGAAGAAAUAUCGAAAUUAUUACAGCGAACUAAACCAGGAACAAUCUUUAAACUUGGAUGUGAAGAAUCAUAAUCUGUGGCCAUAUAUUGUUUAGACGAAAUUGGCUUAGGAAGAUGUGAAGUACUAGAAGGUACAAUAAUAAAUAAAACAUCCAUAUGAAUAUCUGUAAAAGGGAUCUGUACAGGUAUUUCAAUAUAUCCAAGGUAGUUGACCUUAUGACCUCCAGCCGAACGAAUAUCUAAUAAAUCUUUCAAGGGAAACAAUUCAAAUGAUGAAAAAUGACGACGAUAUAAAUUAUCUUCUAAAGUUGAAACCAUAGAACCAGUAUCCAAUAAAACUAAGCAAUUAAUUCCAUUAAUUAAUAAUGAUGAAAUGUUGGAAUGACCAACUAAAUCUGAAGAAAUGGGACAAUUGUUGAUAACCAUGGAGUUAUCAACUGAAACGUUUUCAAGACCUACUGACUGUCCCUUUAAGUAGGCCUGUUGUAGUUUAAAGGACAUGACAUGUCUCCUCUUCUAUGGCCAGGUUGUUGACAAUCCCAACAUAAUAGGACUAGGAUUAAUUCUGGGUGGAAAGUCUUGUCUAUGUUGCAUUGUUGAUGGAGAAGGAACUACAAAUAAAAGGGGGUGGACGAAGAGGAUUAAACUGAGGAAAUGGAUGUUGACGAACAAACUGAGAUGAAGAAGAUGGAAUAUUUUCAGCCCUGUGUGAAUAUGUUUGUCUCUGAUCUAUUUUAGAUUCUAAUUCUGAUACUUUGGAUUUAAAGCUACGAACCUCCUUUAUUAAUGAAGACAUCUGAUGAUGAAGUUGUAAAAAAUCACUGGUACUUUCGUUUGAUGAAUUCAUAUUUAAAGAUCCCAUAGAUCUAGUACAAUUACUUAACCCUUAACCGGUCAACGUCAUUUUGACGUCAUGUCCUCAACUGGUCAGGCUAAAUAAAGGCUGACGUCAAAUAUUUUAUAUGCCUAUUUCAAAGGACUACUGCCAGAUAAUUAUAAGUGAUAGACUCUUGACACCAAUAAAAAAGUUGAAGGGGAUAAGUUGAUCUAUAAUUUGCACUAUUUUUUUCACCUGAUUUCAAAAUGCAAAUUCAGUUAAUAAUUAACGAAAUUUUUCUCUUUUUUUUUCGUUUAUUCUACUUCAAAAGGUGUUUUCUUUGCUGUGUUUAUCAUUAUUUAUGUUUCUUAUCAUUCUCUCUCUCAUCUAUUAUCUAUUUGAGGUAAAACAGACCCUGAGUGAAAAAGAAUUCAAGACAUGUGGGGUAGGGGGUGGGGCCAUUUAAG